CGCAGGGUCCCCAGACUGCAGGACCCCGGCGUUAGGGAAGGACAGCCGGAGGUGGCCCCGAAAGUGGUCCUGAUGGGAUUAUACUGGAAGCCACUGGUCUGACUGCACGAACUGAAGUCCGCGUAGGCCGAUGCCAAGCUCGACGUGUCCAUCCCGGCCAUACAUGACUCGUAGGCAGAGGAAUUUAGCUGUCCGAUGUGAUGUCGCCACCCUGUGAAGAGUGAGCUGCCGAGAGCAAAGUCCAGACUCCAACCUGACCUUGGAAACCUUCAAGUUUGCAUCUGAAUCGCGGGACUGGCGGGGGCCCGCUCACUCGGCCACGUGGACCAGAUUGAUGUCAUUGUCUCGGCACACUGACCUUUGCUGUAAUACCCACGGCAGACAUCACAAACUCUCACAUCAAUUUAGUCCAAUUGGAUGUGGCAUGUCUUGGCUAACUCAAUUUGUGGAGAAAUGCACCUGUCUCUGCCUUCCCUCCCUAUAGAUUUCCUCAAGGGGAGGGUGGGGAGGAGGCAGAGAAAGGGAGAGCUUUUGGAGUGAGUGCUCCUGGUCGACUCCCCUUCCCCCUCCUCACCCCUAGAAACACUCACCCAUAUGCAUAUAAACACCAACUUCUUCUUUCUCUAUCCCUCAGCUCUUUUCCCCCGGUCAUACUGUGCAGAUGUACCAUCUCUGCACCAGCAUACGCCCCGAACGCUCUGUGUUUGCGUGUGCGUCUGUGUGUGUUUUCCAAGGUCUGGGCAGAGCGUCUGGGAGGAGCAGAAGGAGAGCCAUUAGCCCAGCGGUAAUCAGAUUAGAGAGACGUUAAAGGGGGAUGUGAAUUUAAACAGCCAGCAAAGAGAACAAGAGGAAAACUUGGAGGUGUUAUUGAGGUUGUUCAUUACUCAUACGCUCUGCAUGUGCAUGCUCAUCUGCAGCAUAUGUUAAAGGGUGGCUUGCAAGGUGACUUUUGCCCACGCUUUAAUGCAUUUGAGCAGUGGGACAGUUUGUUACCAGAUUGUUAGUUGAUUGUAUUGUAAUGAUCAAAAACAACUAAGGAAUAGUUGUUGAUCGUGUGCAGGUCAGAUUUACGUACAAGCGACACUCUCAUUACAUGCUAACCCAGGUCAGAGCCUAAACAUAAAUUAAAGCAUAAAAUCUGUACUGAGGGUCAGAGGAAGGGUUUUAGUUUAGCCUGCGGUGAAGUUCAGGUGUGUACUUAGCAUGCACGAGGCUAGCUGUUUCCAGUCAGGUAAUGCAUUACAUCAGUGUGGGUCCUGAGAGAGACGGAGCUCCAUCUGUGCACUUGGGAGUGUGCGCUUCAUGCAAAGUGUGCAGGCUGUCAAAGAUGAAUAAUAUGUGUUGGGAUCUGAGCAUUAGGUAAUGAGCAGCACGCUGUGAGGUGAGGCGUAACACCCACCACCUCUCCUUGUGCACCCAUACUCUUCACUUGUAAACACAAACACUUGUUUUACUAUCCUUGUGGGGACAUGCACUUGUUCACAAACCGCUGCGUCCAUUAAAGAGAACAAUCUUUUGUGGUGCAUUAGAAAGUAUAGAAACCAAAAGCACUCGUGUUAAACACCUUUUCUGGGGAAUUCUUAGAGAUAAACUCCAGAAGUGAAGGGAGGAUCUGUUCCUGCGCUACCCGCUACAACCUGCGCCUAAAAAUACUUUGUUAAGAUCUGUUGAUCGAUUGAUUGAUUGAUUUCAUUGACAACAUGACAUUUAUAUUUUCAUGUUUGUUGUUCAAGGUUUAACAGUCAAAAAUGGUCAUGGUGUUCCAUUGAAGUUACACAGGAAACCUGGUUUGAGGUCCUGAUUGAGACGACGCUUCACAGAUUUUUGUUUCGCUGUUCACAGCGAAACGAAACGUUUAGACAGGGUGACCCACAUCAUCAUCAUCAAAAAAUACACCACUGUAUUUUUUUAAAACUUUUAAUCAACCCAGGCCGAUGUUUCAUGCCGCAGUGAACAGCAAUCCUUUUCAAACUUCUUUCUUUAGUGUCUCUAUUUUUCAUAAAGCUAGCCAUGCCUGAAGUGCAGCAAUUUGUCUUCAGCAGGAUUUGAGCAAACAGAAAAAUGUCUACUACCAUGACUAACUGUGUUUAUUCUGAUGUGUGUUCUCCUUAAAACCUUCUGGUUCUGGUUCCAGAGAAAGAAGAUUAUUAACAUAUUCAGACCAGAUAUCGUUACUGUAGAUUAUUACCUGCUUGUUGUGUGCAGGUUUGACAUGUUAAAGUGCUUUUUGUACUAUGACAUGGAAAUUAAUAUAAUAUUUGUACUGUUUGUACUUAUUAACGUAAUAGAUGUCACUGAUAUUCUUUGAGAGUGGUCACCCAUCAAAUGCUGCAGUUUUGGCUUUAAAAAAAUCUAUUUUUUGUGAUUUACUGGCUACCCGCGGUGUAAUUUGCCCAGAGACUCGAGUGUUUAAAACACGCCUAUGGAGUCCAUGUGGCAGUAAAACGUGGCGUUGAACUGCAUAAAUUCACAAACCUAACAAGAAAUCUAAACCCAAAGCUUUCCUUUGGUGAAUGAACUGCUGAGAGUUUUUAUGCAGAUCUGCUGUCUUCAAUAAACAAAAUGUACUUUA